rnacentral:tRNA from 2 species
GCGGGUGUAGCUCAGUUGGUAGAGCGUCAGCCUUCCAAGCUGAAUGUCGCCGGUUCGAACCCGGUCGCCCGCUCCA